UCUAGAAAACGAGUGCAGGUGAGACCUUUGGAAGUCAUCUUGUCUGUCCCUGCCCCACAGCAACAGCAGCCAGAUGGAUGUAGCUUCUAAAGCAACAACAACAACUUUGUUCAAACAUCCAGAACGUUAAGCUGAAGCAGUAAAAGGAAAUCAAGAAAAAGAUACUACAGCUUCUACAUCAGGAGAUUCGUAAGACCACAGGCUCGUUUUCAAGGAGUGUGGCUGACUCUCAAUUGCUGCAGAUGUUUAAAGGCUGAAGUUGUGGAGGUAGUGCUUAAUACUAUGGCUCUUUGUCCUCCUGAUGGAAAAAUCCAGAUGGAAAGAAGUGUGGUUCACAGGGAAAUGAUCGUGUAAGUGGAAUUAAUCUUUCAGAUACUGUAACGUGAAAUCUGAUCUUCCUUUUUGCUAAGAAGACCCAAUCUGUGUCUCUACAUUUUGGUCAGAAUCCGAUGCUAAGAGAACCCAGGAGUCUCUUGAGGUAGAGCUGAAAGCCUUGU